UUUGAGGAAGAUCAGGCAGAUUUUCCAGACAACUGGUUUAAGAGCACAGAGGAUUGAAGCCCAGCUCUUCUUGACUCUGAAAUGCAACUUUUGAUGAGAAGAUUACAUACUGAAAAUAUAAGAAAGAACAAAAAUAAAUAACCAAAAUAAAAUAAAACGAACCUCUUUUUAAUGCCUUGAGGCAAACUCCAAGUUAUAACUUCAAGAUACUGCUAUGCCAGAAUUUCAGAACUCUUUUGGAAGGCUUCCAUCUCUCCAAUUUAGUUGCAAGUGAAACACACAAAAAAUCUGCUUCCCACAGGCUGUUUGAUUUAGAAGAUAUUGAUUAACAAUCAGCCAGGAGAUGGGAACAAUCUAUUUUGACCUAACAAUUUCACCCAUCUUUUUAAACUGACUUUCAGAGUUUCCACUCAUG
ensembl:lncRNA